GACGAACGCUGGCGGCGUGCCUAAUACAUGCAAGUUGAGCGCUGAAGGUUGGUACUUGUACCAACUGGAUGAGCAGCGAACGGGUGAGUAACGCGUGGGGAAUCUGCCUUUGAGCGGGGGACAACAUUUGGAAACGAAUGCUAAUACCGCAUAAAAACUUUAAACACAAGUUUUAAGUUUGAAAGAUGCAAUUGCAUCACUCAAAGAUGAUCCCGCGUUGUAUUAGCUAGUUGGUGAGGUAAAGGCUCACCAAGGCGAUGAUACAUAGCCGACCCGAGAGGGUGAUCGGCCAAAUUGGGACUGAGACACGGCCCAAACUCCUACGGGAGGCAGCAGGAGGGAAUCUUCGGCAAUGGACGAAAGUCUGACCGAGCAACGCCGCGUGAGUGAAGAAGGGUUUCGGAUCGUAAAACUCUGUUGGUAGAGAAGAACGUUGGUGAGAGUGGAAAGCUCAUCAAGUGACGGUAACUACCCAGAAAGGGACGGCUAACUACGUG
rnacentral:rRNA from 1 species